UGCAACCCUUUCCACUGGCUUCACCACUAGGAUAUACCAUUUUGACAUUUUCUUUCUCCCUCUUCAUUCCUUCUACCCCCAAAAUCAUGACAAUACUGAUUACGGUUUACCACCUUCAUAAAUCAACUUUUUGAUUGUUUGGUAAAGAUACAAGAUAGAGAUCGAAGAUGAGUGUGAAGACUCCCGUUGCUUCUUCUCCGUCUUCGGCCUUAUCAAUUUCUAAAUGGAUUGGAGGUCGUCGCCUGGUCUGUUUUGAUCAAAAAGCCCUAAAACCACCUCACCCCCAUUAAAUCUUCUACCCCUUUUUCUUCUCCUGUUCCAUGAAAAGGUUUCGACAUCGUAGAUUUCGCCAUCGGUCGGCUACAACGUCACUGUUCACUGCCUAGUCCACCACCGUCUCCACCAUCAUCUCCAUUUUAUGUUGCUUAUUUGAUGGCAACACAGGAGGUUCUACGACUGGAGCAGUACGUUUGCUUGAAACCCACCUUUUGAAUUUAUCGAGUUAUUCAAAUUCAGUUUUUAAUGAAAAUUUUUACACCUUCUAUGGUUCACCUCUCUAUCCUAAUAUCGACAAAAAAAUCAAAGCUCUUCCGGAUUACCAAAGAAACCAUAAUUCGGUAACAUGUACAAUUUGAAUUUAUAGCAAAGUUAUGAUUUUAAAAAUUUGUGUCUGUCAUUUCAUAUAUUGAUUUUACAAAUUUGUGUUUCAGAUAUUCUGUACAUGGAUUACCAAGAGAGAGGAGCUAUGUUGCAUCUUACCAGACACCUAUCUACAGAAGCCUUAAAUUGUGUUCCAUCUCCUUCUCAAAAGUGUGUAACUUCAUCAGAAUGAAUUGCUGCAAUGGAUGGAUAUAUCAUGAUUCACUUAGAUGACAUUAGCAUAUAUGUUUUGAGAUAUUUUUACAAUUUUACCCCUAAUAAUUAUAUGAAAAUUUCAGAAACAAGUUCCAAGGUCAGACUCCUUUACGUAUACUAUAGUAUUAGUUAGUUGUUGAAAUACAUCUUUUUAUAUCAACAAAAUAAAUCAACUUUGUUAUUUAUCUUUUUCUUUUUCAUUGUUGAAACUUUAAUUUUCUUUGAAAAACUUUACAUUGGUGUUGAACAGUAUCAAAGUACCUGUUAGAUGAAGUCGCCCCUUUAUUGCAGAGGUUUAUCAUUGGAUGAAACAUUGGCUGCAUAUAGUGAAUUCCUUUCUUUUUUGUAACUAAUACUAACAGAUUGUUGGCUAAAAUUAUUUAACCACAUAUAAAAAUGCAGGAUUUUUUUAUUGCCUGAGCAGUCUAUAGGAGAUGAAGGAAUUCGUGCAUUAGUAACCAGAUUAUUUUUGCAUAAAGGUUUCGUUUUUGGAUAUAACAUUGUACUUUCAACUUUUUUUACCCUAAAAGCAACGAUUAAAGAGCAAGAAGACAUAAAGAAUCAACAAUUUUGUACUUAUUAAUUAGUGUGUUAUACUAUCCAACAUUCAUUGCAACAUUGUUUCUCAUUAUUUUUUUCCUAUCAUGUUCAUUGUAUUAUACCAUCCUUUCAUGUUUUAGUGUGAAAUAUUUAUAACUUCCUACUCUGAUUGUAUGUA